rnacentral:rRNA from 1 species
CCUACGGGAUGCAGCAGUGAGGAAUAUUGGUCAAUGGCCGGAAGGCUGAACCAGCCAUGCCGCGUGAAGGUCAGUGCCCUAUGGGCGUUAAACUUCUUUUGUGCGGGAGCAAUAAUGGUCACGUGUGGCCAGACGAGAGUACCGUACGAAUAAGCAUCAGCUAACUCCGUGCCAGCAGCCGCGGUAAUAAGGGGGAUGCAAGCGUUAUCCGGAUUUAUUGGGUUUAAAGGGUGCGUAGGCUGUGAGGUAAGUCAGCGGGGAAAUGCCCUCGCUGACAGGGGUGAGGUGCCGUUGAUACUGGUGUACUGGAAUGCAGAUGCGGUGGGAGGAAUGCGAGGUGUAGCGGUGGAAUGCAUAGAUAUAACAAAGAACACCGAUUGAGAAGGCAUCUCACGAGUCCGCGAUUGACGCUGAGGCACGAAAGCGUGGGUAGCAAACAGGAUUAGAUACCCUUGUAGUC